CUUCUGCUAUCUUAUGCAUACAAAAGGGAAUCCUAAACCAACUUUUAGUAUGAGGUUCCAAUGAAAAGCACUGGUGGCUAGAGGCCCUCAGAACUGAAGAUGACUUUCUGCUAUACUGUGAUCAUGUGCAAAACGCUGCUCUUCAAGUUGGAAUUACAAGGACCAUCAGGGGUCUGCCCUGUGAGACCUGAGGGAACAGGGCUAAGGGUCCCCCAGCAACACCCUGGAUUGGGAAGGACAUGUCAGAAGAAGCCAAAUACAGUGUCUGCUUGUGAGGUUCAAGCUGCCUUUUCCUGCAUGAGGAGAUGAGUUACAGCUAUUGUGAUGCUACUGACUUCAGUCUCUGGCAGAGAAGGUGGUACCCAGCAUUAGGCAAAGUCAAGCUGAUAAUAAAGCUGAUGUUGGCCCACUUUGUGUGUGACUG
rnacentral:lncRNA from 1 species